rnacentral:misc_RNA from 1 species
GAUGAAGAACGCAGCGAAAUGCGAUAAGUAAUGUGAAUUGCAGAAUUCAGUGAAUCAUCGAAUCUUUGAACGCACAUUGCGCCCAUUAGUAUUCUAGUGGGCAUGCCUGUUCGAGCGUCAUUAAGUCCACUUAAGCCCUGCUUAGUGUUGGGAGACUGCUCCAGCGGUGCUACCCUGUAGCUACCCUGCAGCUCCUCAAAGACAGCAGCGGAGUUGUGGUAUCCUCUGAGCUUAGUAACUUGUUCUAGCUUUCGAGUACACCACUUCCCCUGCCGUAAAACCCUUAAUUUUUAAUGGUUGACCUCGGAUCAGGUAGGAAUACCCGCUGAACUUAAGCAUAUCAAUAAGCGGAGGA